rnacentral:sRNA from 1 species
CCCUAGCCCUGAUUGUAGAGAAAAUCCUUUUUAGCAAAAAAAGAUUGUAACGAAAAGCAGGAAAUAGC